AGAAGAGUCAGCUAAUUCAAGCUUCUGGGCCCAUACCCCAAAAAUGUGGGUUAAACCCCCACCUCUCCUA
rnacentral:tRNA from 1 species